rnacentral:rRNA from 1 species
CCCGCUCAGAAACUCAAAUGAAUUGACGGGGCCGCACAAGCGGAGGAGCAUGUGGUUUAAUUCGAUGAUACGCGAGGAACCUUACCUGGGCUCGAACGUAAGAUGACUGUAGGUGAAAGCUUACAUCUCUUCGGAGCAUUUUACGAGGUGCUGCAUGGUUGUCGUCAGCUCGUGCCGUGAGGUGUCGGGUUAAGUCCCAUAACGAGCGCAACCCCUACCUUUAGUUGCCAUCAGGUAAUGCUGGGGACUCUAAAGGAACUGCCUACGCAAGUAGUGAGGAAGGCGGGGAUGACGUCAAAUCAGCACGGCCCUUACGUCCAGGGCUACACACGUGCUACAAUGGCCGAUACAGAGGGCAGCUACCUGGUGACAGGAUGCAAAUCUCCAAAGUCGGUCUCAGUUCGGAUCGGAGUCUGCAACCCGACUCCGUGAAGUUGGAUUCGCUAGUAAUCGCGCAUCAGCCAUGGCGCGGUGAAUACGUUCCCGGGCCUU